UACGAAGGUGGCAAGCGUUACUCGGAAUUACUAGGCGUAAAGGGCAGGUAGGUGGUCUAAUAAGUCUGUUGUGAAAGCUCCCGGCUUAACUGGGAGAGGUCAACGGAUACUAUUAGGCUUGAGUAUGGGAGAGGGUACUGGAAUUCCUGGUGUAGCGGUGAAAUGCGCAGAUAUCAGGAGGAACACCAAUGGCGAAAGCAGGUACCUGGACCAUUACUGACACUCAGCUGCGAAAGCUAGGGGAGCAAACAGG
rnacentral:rRNA from 1 species